CACUCCUGCGGGAGGCAGCAGUGGGGAAUAUUGCACAAUGGGCGCAAGCCUGAUGCAGCCAUGCCGCGUGUAUGAAGAAGGCCUUCGGGUUAUAAAGUACUUUCAGCGGGGAGGAAGGCGAUAAGGUUAAUAACCUUGUCGAUUGACGUUACCCGCAGAAGAAGCACCGGCUAACUCCGUGCCAGCAGCCGCGGUAAUACGGAGGGUGCAAGCGUUAAUCGGAAUUACUGGGCGUAAAGCGCACGCAGGCGGUCUGUCAAGUCGGAUGUGAAAUCCCCGGGCUCAACCUGGGAACUGCAUUCGAAACUGGCAGGCUAGAGUCUUGUAGAGGGGGGUAGAAUUCCAGGUGUAGCGGUGAAAUGCGUAGAGAUCUGGAGGAAUACCGGUGGCGAAGGCGGCCCCCUGGACAAAGACUGACGCUCAGGUGCGAAAGCGUGGGGAGCAAACAGGAUUAGAAACCCGGGUAGUCCCAUG
rnacentral:rRNA from 1 species